AUUGAACGCUGGCGGCAGGCUUAACACAUGCAAGUCGAGCGGAUGAAGGUAGCUUGCUACUGGAUUCAGCGGCGGACGGGUGAGUAAUGCUUAGGAAUCUGCCUAUUAGUGGGGGACGACGUUCCGAAAGGAGCGCUAAUACCGCAUACGUCCUACGGGAGAAAGCAGGGGACCUUCGGGCCUUGCGCUAAUAGAUGAGCCUAAGUCGGAUUAGCUAGUUGGUAGGGUAAAGGCCUACCAAGGCGACGAUCUGUAGCGGGUCUGAGAGGAUGAUCCGCCACACUGGGGCUGAGACACGGCCCAGACUCCUACGGGAGGCAGCAGUGGGGAAUAUUGGACAAUGGGGGGAACCCUGAUCCAGCCAUGCCGCGUGUGUGAAGAAGGCCUUUUGGUUGUAAAGCACUUUAAGCGAGGAGGAGGCUACCUAGAUUAAUACUUUAGGAUAGUGGACGUUACUCGCAGAAUAAGCACCGGCUAACUCUGUGCCAGCCGCCGCGGUAACAC
rnacentral:rRNA from 1 species